rnacentral:rRNA from 1 species
GACGAACGCUGGCGGCAUGCCUCAUACAUGCAAGUAGAACGCAGUUGCGAACGGGUGAGUAACGCGUAGGUAACUGCCUCAUAUCGGGGGAUAACUAUUGUAAACGAUCGCUAAUCCCGCAUACUGUGACCUGGCCCUGCGUUGUCGUAGCUAGUUGGGGAGGUAAAGCCUCACCAAGGCCACAAUACAUAGCCGACCUGCGAGGGGUGUCGGCAAAAAUGGGACUGAGAAAAGGCCAAGAAUCCUACGGGAGGCAGCAGAAGGGAAUGUUAGGAAAUGGACGGAAGUCUGACCGAGCAACGGCGCGUGAGAGAAGAAGGUUGUCGGAUCGUAAAGCUCUGUUGUUAGAGAAGAGGUAACUAACCAGAAAGGGACGGCUAACUACGGGCCAGCAGCCGCGGUAAUAC